rnacentral:rRNA from 1 species
AGAUUAUGCCAUACCACCCUGAACGCGCCCGAUCUCGUCUGAUCUCGGAAGCUAAGCAGGGUCGGGCCUGGUUAGUACUUGGAUGGGAGAUUAUGUUGUGAAUUAUAUAAAUAUAAAUUU